AUUGAACGCUGGCGGCAGGCUUAACACAUGCAAGUCGAGCGGGGGACGGUCGCUUGCUACCGGACCUAGCGGCGGACGGGUGAGUAAUGCUUAGGAAUCUGACUACUCGUGGGGGACAACUAAUCGCAAGGGAUGCUAAUUCCGCAUACGUCCUACGGGAGAAAGCAGGGGAUCUGUGGACACUGCGCCUAUGCAUGAGCUUAAGUCGGAUUAGCUAGUUGGUGGGGUAAAGGCCUACAAAGGCGACGGUCUGUAGCGGGUCUGAGAGGAUGAUCCGCCACACUGGGACUGAGACACGGCCCAGACUCCUACGUGAGGCAGCAGUGUGGAAUAUUGGACAAUGGGGGGAACCCUGAUCCAGCCAUGCCGCGUGUGUGAAGAAGGCCUUAUGGUUGUAAAGCACUUAAGCGAGGAGGAGUCUACUUUAGUUAAAACCUAGAGAUAGUGGACGUUACUCGCAUAAUAAGCACCGGCUAACUCUGUGCCAGCCGCCGCAGUAA
rnacentral:rRNA from 1 species